GUGCUUACUUCAGCAGCACACAUCCUAAAAUUGAAAUGAUAGAGAUAGCAUGGCCCCUGAGCAAAGAUGACACACAAAUUCAUGAAGUGUUCCAUAGUUUU
rnacentral:snRNA from 1 species